GUGAGGACUGCCAGCACACUGUCACCUCUUACUACUUUCCCAUAAAUUCUUUGGCAUAUGAAGAAAGGGAAAGAGAGAGAAAGAAGAAAAGAAAGGGACAAAAGAGGGAAGAGAGGAAAAGAGGAAAACAUCAACACAGGAAGCAGAAAGGGUCCUCUCCCCAUGGCCACCGCAGCUAGGAAUAUGCGGAGUCACACUUGAAGCCAGCACAGCACUGGGUCACACCCAAGGCUUGCAGUGAGUACUGCCUAAGUAUCGUUGAUGUUUAUUUGAGGGCCAAGAACUCUUUAGUCAGCAGGUCAUCCUGCCAGAACUGGGUAUAUCCUUUCAAGGCAGUGGGUUCCCUUCUGGCCAGG
rnacentral:lncRNA from 10 species